GGGGGCGUAGCUCAGAUGGUAGAGCGCUCGCUUAGCAUGCCAGAGUUCCGGGAAUUUAUACUCCGCGCCUCCA